AUUGAACGCUGGCGGCAUGCUUUACACAUGCAAGUCGAACGGUAACAGGGUGCUUGCACCGCUGACGAGUGGCGAACGGGUGAGUAAUGCGUCGGAACGUGCCGAGUAGUGGGGGAUAACGCGUCGAAAGGUGUGCUAAUACCGCAUACGUACUGAGGUAGAAAGUGGGGGACCUUCGGGCCUCACGCUAUUCGAGCGGCCGACGUCUGAUUAGCUAGUUGGUGAGGUAAAGGCUCGCCAAGGCGACGAUCAGUAGCGGGUCUGAGAGGAUGAUCCGCCACACUGGGACUGGGACACGGCCCAGACUCCUACGGGAGGCAGCAGUGGGGAAUUUUGGACAAUGGGCGCAAGCCUGAUCCAGCCAUGCCGCGUGUCUGAAGAAGGCCUUCGGGUUGUAAAGGACUUUUGUCCGGGAGCAAAUGCCUGGUGUUAAUAGCACUGGGAGCUGAGAGUACCGGAAGAAUAAGCACCGGCUAACUACGUGCCAGCAGCCGCCGUAAUAC
rnacentral:rRNA from 1 species